GCUGGGUGUGGUGGUGCAUGCCUGUAAUCCUAGCUACUCAGGAGGCUGAGGCAGGAGAAUUGCUUGAACCCAGGAGGUGGAGGUUGCAGUAAGCUGAGAUUGCACCGCUGCGCUCCAGCCUGGGUGACACAGCAAGACUCUGUCUCAA
rnacentral:sRNA from 1 species